AAGAGAAGAAGCAUAAGCUUAAAUUUCUAGUUAGAAGCUAGACAGAUUUACAUCUACAUCCCC
rnacentral:tRNA from 1 species